UGGCUCAGGAUGGACGCUGGCGGCGUGCCUAAUACAUGCAAGUCGAACGAACUCUGGUAAUGAUUGGUGCUUGCAUCAUGAAUUACAUUUGAGUGAGUGGCGAACUGGUGAGUAACACGUGGGAAACCUGCCCAGAAGCGGGGGAUAACACCUGGAAACAGAUGCUAAUACCGCAUAACAACUUGGACCGCAUGGUCCGAGUUUGAAAGAUGGCUUCGGCUAUCACUUUUGGAUGGUCCCGCGGCGUAUUAGCUAGAUGGUGAGGUAACGGCUCACCAUGGCAAUGAUACGUAGCCGACCUGAGAGGGUAAUCGGCCACAUUGGGACUGAGACACGGCCCAA
rnacentral:rRNA from 2 species